CCUACGGGAGGCAGCAGUGGGGAAUAUUGCACAAUGGGGGAAACCCUGAUGCAGCGACGCCGCGUGAGAGAUGAAGUAUUUCGGUAUGUAAAGCUCUAUCAGCAGGGAAGAAAAUGACGGUACCUGACUAAGAAGCCCCGGCGAACUACGUGCCAGCAGCCGCGGUAAUACGUAGGGGGCAAGCGUUAUCCGGAUUUACUGGGUGUAAAGGGAGCGUAGACGGCUGUGCAAGCCAGAUGUGAAAGCCCGGGGCUCAACCCCGGGACUGCAUUUGGAACUGUGUGGCUGGAGUGUCGGAGAGGCAGGCGGAAUUCCUCGUGUAGCGGUGACAUGCGUAGAUCUUAGGCGGACCCCCAGUGGC
rnacentral:rRNA from 1 species